CCUCUCGAUGAUGAAGAACUUGUUGAGUAUAUACUCACGGGCCUCGACUUCGACUUCAAUCCGAUAGUCUCUGCCCUUGUUGCAAGGACGGAGCCUGCUUCUGUGAGCGAGGUGUACGCUCAACUUCUCGCCUUCGAGA